AUACAUGCAAGUCGAGCGGACAGAUGGGAGCUUGCUCCCUGAUGUUAGCGGCGGACGGGUGAGUAACACGUGGGUAACCUGCCUGUAAGACUGGGAUAACUCCGGGAAACCGGGGCUAAUACCGGAUGCUUGUUUGAACCGCAUGGUUCAAGCAUAAAAGGUGGCUUCGGCUACCACUUACAGAUGGACCCGCGGCGCAUUAGCUAGUUGGUGAGGUAAUGGCUCACCAAGGCAACGAUGCGUAGCCGACCUGAGAGGGUGAUCGGCCACACUGGGACUGAGACACGGCCCAGACUCCUACGGGAGGCAGCAGUAGGGAAUCUUCCGCAAUGGACGAAAGUCUGACGGAGCAACGCCGCGUGAGUGAUGAAGGUUUUCGGAUCGUAAAGCUCUGUUGUUAGGGAAGAACAAGUACCGUUCGAAUAGGGCGGUACCUUGACGGUACCUAACCAGAAAGCCACGGCUAACUACGUGCCAGCAGCCGCGGUAAUACGUAGGUGGCAAGCGUUGUCCGGAAUUAUUGGGCGUAAAGGGCUCGCAGGCGGUUUCUUAAGUCUGAUGUGAAAGCCCCCGGCUCAACCGGGGAGGGUCAUUGGAAAACUGGGGAACUUGAGUGCAGAAGAGGAGAGU
rnacentral:rRNA from 1 species